GGGCCGGCCUUGGCCUUGACUUGGAGCCAAUGCACAAGAAUCACCAUCUAUACGCAUUGACUACAAUCCCGGCUCUUUCAGGUACCAACACCGCCCAACCCUCUAAUCAUCACCGUCGGAUCGAUGCGCCUCCCUCCGCUCCGCUUCCGCCCGACCUGCACCGCCCCGAUCGUCUCCGCCAACGCCCUCAUCCACCGCUACGCUCGCCUCGGCCAGAUCGAUGCCGCCCGCAAGGUCUUCGACGGGAUGCCCGAGCGGAGCGUCGUCUCCUUUAACUCCCUCAUCGCCGGUUACUUCCUCAACCGCCACCCCUCCGAAGCCCAGAAGCUCUUCGACCGAAUGCCCCAGCGGAACACCGCCUCCUACAACGCCAUGAUCUCCGGCUAUCUCAAGAACGGUCGUCUCGCAGACGCCCGCGCCGUCUUCGAGUCCAUGCCCCAGCACAAUGUCGUCUCCUGGACCUCCAUGGUCCGCGGACUCGUCCAAGCCGGCGCCAUCGCCGAGGCCGAGUCCCUCUUCCGCCGCAUGCCCGAGCGGAACGUCGUCUCCUGGACCGUCAUGCUCGGCGGCCUCAUCCAGGACGGCCGCAUCGACGACGCCCGCCGACUCUUCGACGAGAUGCCCGAGAAGGACAUCGUCGCACGGACCAGUAUGAUCUCUGGCUACUGCCAGUUCGGACGCAUGUCGGAGGCCAGAGAAAUGUUUGAUGAGAUGCCGCGGCGGAAUGUGAUCUCGUGGACGGCCAUGAUCUCAGGACAUGCUCAGAAUCUGCAGGUGGACCUCGCGAGGAAGCUCUUUGAGGUGAUGCCAGAGAGGAACGAGGUCUCGUGGACUGCCAUACUCACUGGAUAUAUCCAGGCCGGCCGUAUCGAGGAGGCGGCUGAACUGUUCCGGAGAAUGCCGGAGCACUCGUUGGUUGCUUGCAAUGCAAUGAUCCUUGGUUUCGGGCAGCAUGGGAUGGUGGCAGAGGCAAGGGAGGUUUUUGAUAGGAUGGCAGAGAGGGAUGAUGGGUCGUGGAGUGCGAUGGUGAAGGUGUAUGAGCGAAAUGGGUUUCAAUUGGCUGCAAUUGAUGUGUUUCGUAAGAUGCAGAUGAAUGGAAUCUGUCCCAAUUUCCCUUCAAUUAUCAGCAUUCUUACUGUUUGCGCCAGCUUGGCAAUUCUUGAUCAUGGUAGGGAGGUUCAUGCAGCAGUGCUGCGGUCCCAUUUCGGUGCGGAUGUGUUUGUUGUCUCAGCCUUGAUGACAAUGUAUGCUAAGUGUGGUGAACUCAUGAAGGCAAAGAAAAUAUUUGAUAAGUUUGACUCAAAAGAUGUUGCAAUGUGGAACUCGAUGAUAACUGGCUAUGCUCAACAUGGUUUAGGGAAGGAAGCUUUAAGUGUUUUUAAUGAUAUGAAGUCCACGGGUAUGGUGCUUGAUGAGAUCACAUUUAUAGGUGUUCUUUCUGCUUGUAGCUAUUCAGGGAAGGUUAAAGAAGGGCGAGAAAUUUUUGAAUCAAUGAGGUCGAAUUCUUCGGUUGAAGCAAAAGCUGAACACUAUGCUUGUAUGGUUGAUCUACUUGGUCGAGCUGGCCAUGUUGAUGAAGCGAUGGAUUUGAUCAGGAACAUGCCUGUCGAGGCUGAUGCUGUCAUUUGGGGUGCUUUGUUAGGUGCAUGUAGGACCCACAUGAAUAUAGAGAUUGCUGAGAUUGCUGCCAAAAAGCUGUUGCUUUUGGAGCCUGGGAAUGCAGGGCCUUACAUCUUGCUAUCUAAUAUGUAUGCUUCCAGUGGGAGAUGGGAAGAUGUUGCAGAGCUGAGGAAGAUUAUGAGCAUAAGGAAUGUGAGCAAGUCUCCAGGGUCUAGCUGGAUUGAAUAUGGCAAGAAUGUGCACAUGUUCUCCUGUGGAGAUGUAAUGGCACAUCCAGAGCACAAACUAAUUGUUGGCAUGUUGGAGAGAUUAGAUGGACUGUUAAGGGAGGCAGGGUAUUCUCCAGAUGGUAGCUUUGUGCUGCAUGAUGUUGAUGAGGAGCAGAAGGCUCACAACUUGCGGUACCAUAGUGAGAGGCAAGCAGUGGCAUUUGGGAUUCUGAAGAUUCCUGCAGGAGUGCCGAUUCGUGUCAUGAAGAACCUUAGGGUGUGUGGGGAUUGCCAUUCUGCAGUUAAGCUGAUUGCAAAAGUCACCGGCCGAGAGAUCAUUUUGAGAGAUGCAAAUAGAUUUCAUCAUUUCAAAGAUGGGUCUUGUUCUUGCGGGGAUUAUUGGUGAUGUCCCAGGCAUGGUGCAGCCUCUUCCUAAGAACAUAUCAAAUUUGGUACAUCUCUUUGAACUUGUUUAUUCUAUGAUGGCAGCUUCAGUAGAAUUUGGAUGGCCUAACCUGCUAUAUUACUGAUUAUGCAUGAUCAAGAAAAUUGAAAUAUCAGGUGAAUUAUUGUCAAUCAAGUUACAUCCACCGCAUGGUUGCCAGACUUUUAAGGAAGUUAAAUUCAUGCAUAUUUGCUCUGGACAAGAGAACUGGUCCUUACUGCUUGCAGCCUACACUGGGAUUGUGAGGCAAAAAAAGUGCUGCCAGAAUAAAUUGUACUUCUGUACCUAUUUCAUAUGAAGCAUUAGAUUUCAUCUGUAGCUCUUUUUCUACUACCCAUCUUCCUUUUUGAUUUUGAUGGUUUUAGGACAUUAAGCCGUCUUUUUUUGCUUUUGUCUUUAAUCCCAUGUGAAUGGAAAGCCAUGCUAUGCACAUAA